CGAGUCAAACCAGAACAUGCCAAAAAAGAAGCUGUGGUUCUGAAAGAAAUACCUAAAGAAGAAAAGGAAGAGCCCAGAAAAAGCAAGGAACAAGUCAAACCAGAAUAUGCCAAAAAAGAAGCUGUUCUUCUGAAAGAAAAACCUAAAGAAGAAAAGGAAAAGCCCCGGGACACCAAGGAACGAGUCAAACCAGAACAUGCCAAAAAAGAAGCUGUGGUUCUGAAAGAAAUACAUAAAGAAGAAAAGGAAGAGCCCAGAAAAAGCAAGGAACAAGUCAAACCAGAAUAUGCCAAAAAAGAAGCUGUUCUUCUGAAAGAAAAACCUAAAGAAGAAAAGGAAAAGCCCCGGGACACCAAGGAACGAGUCAAACCAGAACAUGCCAAAAAAGAAGCUGUGGUUCUGAAAGAAAUACAUAAAGAAGAAAAGGAAGAGCCCAGAAAAAGCAAGGAACAAGUCAAACCAGAAUAUGCCAAAAAAGGUACAGAUAGGAAUUUGUAA
rnacentral:lncRNA from 1 species